rnacentral:rRNA from 1 species
AGCGAACGCUGGCGGCAGGCCUAACACAUGCAAGUCGAACGGAUCCUUCGGGAUUAGUGGCGGACGGGUGAGUAACACGUGGGAACGUGCCUUUUGGUUCGGAACAACUCAGGGAAACUUGAGCUAAUACCGGAUGUGCCCUUCGGGGAAGGAUUAUCGCCAUUAGUAGCGGCCCGGCCGUCUGAUUAGUCUUGUUGGUGGAGGUAAAGGGACUCACC